rnacentral:tRNA from 1 species
GCCUAGGUGGCGGAACUGGUAGACGCGCACGACUCAAAAUCGUGUUCCCCACGGAGUGCCGGUUCGAUCCCGGCCCUGGGUA